rnacentral:rRNA from 1 species
GAUCGCAUUAUGGUCAUUAUUUUUAUAAUGGCUGGCGAUAGAUCAUUCAAGUUUCUGACCUAUCAGCUUUCGACGGUAGUGUAUUGGACUACCGUGGCAGUGACGGGUAACGGGGAAUUAGGGUUCGAUUCCGGAGAGGGAGCCUGAGAAACGGCUACCACAUCUAAGGAAGGCAGCAGGCGCGCAAAUUACCCAAUCCUGACUCAGGGAGGUAGUGACAAGAAAUAACAACACUGGAAAUUUUAUUUCUAGUGAUUGGAAUGAUGGGAAUUUAAACCCCUUUCAGAGUAACAAUUGGAGGGCAAGUCUGGUGCCAGCAGCCGCGGUAAUUCCAGCUCCAAUAGCGUAUAUUAAAGUUGUUGCAGUUAAAAAGCUCGUAGUUGGAUAUCUGCUGGAAGCAAUCAGUCCGCCCUAUUUGUAGGGUGUGCACUUGAUGAAUUCUGGCAUUUUUGUCCCAAUGAUAAUAUGGCGGAAGGAGGGGUAAAACCCUAUUCCGUACUGUUCUUAUUGGGAUACUGUUACUUUGAGAAAAUUAGAGUGUUUGAAGCAGGCUAAUUGCCUUGAAUACUGCAGCAUGGAAUAACAAUAUAGGAUUUCGGUUCUAUUUUGUUGGUUUCUAGGACUGAAAUAAUGAUUAAUAGGGACAGUUGGGGGCAUUCGUAUUUAACUGUCAGAGGUGAAAUUCUUAGAUUUGUUAAAGACGAACUACUGCGAAAGCAUUUGCCAAAGAUGUUUUCAUUAAUCAAGAACGAAAGUUAGGGGCUCGAAGACGAUCAGAUACCGUCGUAGUCUUAACCAUAAACUAUGCCGACUAGAGAUAGGAAAAUGUCAUUUUGCUGACUUCUUCUG